rnacentral:lncRNA from 1 species
AAUCUAGUUUCAACAAUGCUUUUUAAAGUUUUUCUCAAGAUAACAAUCACCUUUACGUAGGAAGUCGGAGGGCCUACCUCCUUCCCCAAUCUAGAUUCAGUGAUGAGAUCUUGGAAUUAUUUGGCUUUUUGGCUUUUUAUGAUCUCCCUUAUACUCACUUAUACUACUGGCGCUUUGAGAAUUUUUAAAGGUUAAUGCACCACUAAGAUUAGAACGCGUUUCCUUAAAAUACCUAUUCAUACAUUUACUCAAGGGAAGCAACUUUGUGUUUUUCUCAUUGGAGAAUUUUAUUCACUUUAAAACAAGAUGUGGUUAUAUCAAGAAGACUUAAAACACAAGAGUUUGCUUU